rnacentral:misc_RNA from 1 species
GCGCAAUUCAUAAGCUUCAUUAUAAAAACAUCAAACCAAGUUUGAAAACAAGCACACAGCCAUGAAAAACAACAAAGCAUUUUGUAGCGCUACGUGGGUCUACAAUUAUUGGAACAUGAAACGAAAGCACAGUAGAAAAGAAAACAAACCAUCUUCUGUAGAUAUACAGGACACACAAAAGCAAUCAACAACAUCUUUUUGGGAUGAAAGCACAGUAGAAAAGAAAACAAACCAUCUUCUGUAGAUAUACAGGACACACAAAAGCAAUCAACAACAUCUUUUUGGGAUGAAAGCACAGUAGAAAAGAAAACAAACCAUCUUCUGUAGAUAUACAGGACACACAAAAGCAAUCAACAACAUCUUUUUGGGAU